UGGGACUCUGCAUGAAAUGUGUGGAUCAGCCCUGUGCCCGGAGAUGGCCUGUGACUCAGAGACCAGCAAGCCUGCCAUUGCCUGGUCAACCCUAGCUGUGAAGAAGCCUCCCGGACUCCUCCCUACUUCAUUUCCUGGUGCCACCUUUCUUCCACGGUGUUUGUGCUUCCACAUCCUCCAGCAAUGACAGUAAAGCACACACAGCCAGCCAGCCCGCAGGCGUCGACGGUGGACGGCAGUUUACCAACCCUCAGGAGCCUGCAAAGGGUCUUCACAGCCUGGAUGAUCCCACUGCGCUACACUUCCAUGGACAUGGGCAAAAGUUCUCCCUUUCGGAAAUCACUUCCUCCCUCCUCAGCCCUGAUAAAUCCUGACCGCUUUUUCCUGGCUCGGACCCGUCCAUCCUGCUGGGUGGUUGCUGAG
ensembl:lncRNA